CCCCUGGCGGGCUGGGAGUGGGGCACCAGGGGCCCGGCCUGCUGUCACAGGGGAUUAGGGGCUGCAUGACCCUGCCCUCCCGGAGUUGGGCCGGCUGCCGAGGACACUGGAGUCCCAGGGAGGACAGCCCCAUCCAGGGAGAGAGACCACGUCACGCCCACUGGGAUGGCAAGAGGCAAAAAGACAAGCAGUCACCAGCACUGGUACCGGCCCGACAGCAGGAAAACCCACCUACGAACGGUGCGCGGCCACCCAGACGCUGGCCACCGAUGACCGUGGAAACGGACGGCGAUGGAGCCACACGACGGAAUACUACUCAGCCAUAAGAAGGGGUAAAGACCGAAACACGCCUCAACACGGAUGCCCUUGGCAAUGUGAAAGACACCAGGUGAUAAGGCUUUAUUCACAUCAAAUUCUGGAACGGAA